GUAAACGAUUGGUGCGGCGUCAGCGUUUCUGCGAUCUUAAAGUCACAAAAUUUGUGGCAGAACAMAAACAGAAAAGAAAAGUGAUAAAUUAGCAUAUGAGCGUAGUAACAGCCAGCAGCURGACGACUACAGGUCUUCAAAGGUGUAAAACAACAACAACAAAACCAAAACUAACAAAGUGAAAAUACGAAAUACUAACAGYGAGCCGAAUUUAUUAACGCAGCACGACAAAAUAAACGAACUAAUGAAGUGUGUUAAAAGCGGAAUCUGGCGUGUUUUGGUAGUGAAAUAGUGAAAACAACAACAAAUAAGUGCGUUAGAAAAAAUCGUGUGCUAAAACGUGCGGCCAAAGUGUUGACAGCGUUCGAAAAUGAGUGAAGAAUGUUGAAAGCGGAAAUAGAGCACGUAUUCGAAACAUAUUUCGUAACAAAAAAUUAUUUCAACAGAAUCAAAUCGAAAAUAGUGUCUAAAGUAUUUCCCAAAAUUAUUUUUCAAAAGCGUCAGUGGCAUUGCAAAGUUUAGCUGCUGACAAGCAAUCAGCAGCGUGUCAAGUCAACAAUACCGCACAACAACAAUAAAACAAUUGCAAUACGUACAAAAUAAAUAAAAAAAAAA